rnacentral:rRNA from 1 species
AUUGAACGCUGGCGGCAUGCCUUACACAUGCAAGUCGAACGGUAACAGGUCUUCGGGUGCUGACGAGUGGCGAACGGGUGAGUAAUACAUCGGAACGUGCCUAGUAGUGGGGGAUAACUACUCGAAAGAGUGGCUAAUACCGCAUGCGAUCUAUGGAUGAAAGCAGGGGACCGCAAGACCUUGUGCUACUAGAGCGGCCGGUGGCAGAUUAGGUAGUUGGUGGGGUAAAAGCUUACCAAGCCGACGAUCUGUAGCUGGUCUGAGAGGACGAUCAGCCACAAUGGGACUGAGACACGGCCCAGACUCCUACGGGAGGCAGCAGUGGGGAAUUUUGGAAAAUGGGCGAAAGCCUGAUCCAGCAAUGCCGCGUGCAGGAUGAAGGCCUUCGGGUUGUAAACUGCUUUUGUACGGAACGAAAAGCCCCGGGUUAAUACCCUGGGGUCAUGACGGUACCGUAAGAAUAAGCACCGGCUAACUACGUGCCAGCCGCCGCCGUAA